rnacentral:piRNA from 1 species
UGGCACUGUAUGUGGACCUGGAUGA